AAGGACAGGAGACUAGGAAGGCGGAGGGAGGCUGCUAUUGGCAGGGCCUCAGUGGAGACCUCCCGGGGUCCCGGGACGCAGACGGACGGGCCUGAAUCGCUCGCCUUGGUGAAAUGGGAUCCAGCGCUGCCAACUGCGGCAACUGCGGUUAAAGGAGACGACCCCGUGCAGCAGGAGGAGGUUAUUUAGAAUAAGGAAGAAUGCGCCGGGCUCAUUGGUCGCUACAGGGGCAUAAAUUUUUUCUAGGAUUCCAGAGUAUGGCUGCU
rnacentral:lncRNA from 1 species